GACGAACGCUGGCGGCGUGCUUAACACAUGCAAGUCGAACGGAGUGGCGAACGGGUGAGUAACACGUGGGUGAUCUGCCUUGCACUUCGGGAUAAGCUUGGGAAACUGGGUCUAAUACCGGAUAGUGCAAGAUGAGCUCGCGGCCUAUCAGCUUGUUGGUGGGGUAAUGGCCUACCAAGGCGUCGACGGGUAGCCGGCCUGGGAGGGUGUACGGCCACAGUGGGAUUGGGAGAGGGGCCAGAGUCCUACGGGAGGCAGCAGUGGGGAAUAGUGCGAAAUGGGCGGAGGGCUGGUGCAGGGACGCCGCGUGGGGGAUGAAGGCUUUCGGGUUGUAAACUCCUUUCGACAGAGACGCGGUACCUGUAUAAGAAGAACCGGCUAACUACGUGCCAGCAGCCGCGGUAAUAC
rnacentral:rRNA from 1 species